UACAGAGGGUGCAAGCGUUGUUCGGAAUUACUGGGCGUAAAGGGCGUGUAGGCGGCCUUGCAAGUCAGAUGUGAAAUCCCGGGGCUUAACUCCGGAAGUGCAUUUGAAACUGCAAGGCUAGAGUGCUGUAGAGGAUGGCGGAAUACCCAGUGGAGAGGUGAAAUUCGUAGAUAUUGGGUAGAACACCGGUGGCGAAGGCGGCCAUCUGGGCAGCAACUGGCGCUGAGGCGCGAAAGCGUGGGGAGCAAACAGG
rnacentral:rRNA from 1 species